rnacentral:rRNA from 1 species
GAUGAACGCUAGCUACAGGCUUAACACAUGCAAGUCGCGGGGCAGCAUGGGGGUUGCUUGCACUCCCCGAUGGCGACCGGCGCACGGGUGAGUAACGCGUAUCCAACCUGCCCUUCACCACGGGAUAACCCGGCGAAAGUCGGACUAAUACCGUAUGUUGUCCAUUGACGGCAUCCGAUUUGGACGAAAGGUUUGGCGGUGAAGGAUGGGGAUGCGUCCGAUUAGCUGGACGGCGGGGUGACGGCCCACCGUGGCGACGAUCGGUAGGGGUUCUGAGAGGAAGGUCCCCCACACUGGAACUGAGACACGGUCCAGACUCCUACGGGAGGCAGCAGUGAGGAAUAUUGGUCAAUGGGCGUAAGCCUGAACCAGCCAAGUAGCGUGCAGGAUGACGGCCCUAUGGGUUGUAAACUGCUUUUAUGCGGGGAUAAAGUGGCCCACGUGUGGGUUUCUGCAGGUACCGCAUGAAUAAGGACCGGCUAAUUCCGUG